CUGGUGUCAGCCGCCGCGGUAAUACCAGCACCCCGAGUGGUCGGGACGAUUAUUGGGCCUAAAGCAUCCGUAGCCGGUCCUGCAAGUCUUCCGUUAAAUCCACCCGCUCAACGGUUGGGCCGCGGAGGAUACUACUGGGCUAGGAGGCGGGAGAGGCAAGCGGUACUCAGUGGGUAGGGGUAAAAUCCUUUGAUCCAUUGAAGACCACCAGUGGCGAAGGCGGCUUGCCAGAACGCGCUCGACGGUGAGGGAUGAAAGCUGGGGGGGCAAACCGGAUUAGAUACCCGGGUAGUCCCAGCUGUAAACGAUGCAGACUCGGUGAUGGGUUGGCCUCGAGCCAUCCCAGUGCCGCAGGGAAGCCGUUAAGUCUGCCGCCUGGGGAGUACGGUCGCAAGACUGAAACUUAAAG
rnacentral:rRNA from 2 species